GAGUAUAGCACGCGCGUGUUGCGUCGCGCCAGUUCACAGGCCCGCCGACUGCAGGCUCUGCUGGAAGCGUUGGGCA
rnacentral:tRNA from 1 species